rnacentral:rRNA from 1 species
CCUACGGGUGGCUGCAGUGGGGAAUAUUGCACAAUGGGGGAAACCCUGAUGCAGCGACGCCGCGUGAGUGAAGAAGUAUUUCGGUAUGUAAAGCUCUAUCAGCAGGGAAGAAAAGGACGGUACCUGACGAAGAAGCCCCGGCUAACUACGUGCCAGCAGCCGCGGUAAGACGUAGGGGGCAAGCGUUAUCCGGAUUGACUGGGUGUAAAGGGAGCGUAGACGGCCAGACCAGUCAGAAGUGAAAGCCCCGGGCUCCACUCUGGGACUGCUUUUGAAACUGCCGGGCUGGAGUGCGGGAGAGCUCACCCGCAUGCCUAGUGUAGCGGUGAAAUGCGUAGAUAUUAGGAGGAACCCCAGUGGCGACGGCGGCUUACUGUACUGUAACUGACGUUGAGGCUCGCACGCGUGGGGAGCAAACAGGAUUAGAUACCCCUGUAGUC